rnacentral:rRNA from 1 species
GAUGAACGCUGGCGGCGUGCCUAAUACAUGCAAGUCGAGCGAAUGGAUUGAGAGCUUGCUCUUAUGAAGUUAGCGGCGGACGGGUGAGUAACACGUGGGUAACCUGCCCAUAAGACUGGGAUAACUCCGGGAAACCGGGGCUAAUACCGGAUAACAUUUUGAACCGCAUGGUUCGAAAUUGAAAGGCGGCUUCGGCUGUCACUUAUGGAUGGACCCGCGUCGCAUUAGCUAGUUGGUGAGGUAACGGCUCACCAAGGCCACGAUGCGUAGCCGACCUGAGAGGGUGAGCGGCCACACUGGGACUGAGACACGGCCCAGACUCCUACGGGAGGCAGCAGUAGGGAAUCUUCCGCAAUGGACGAAAGUCUGACGGAGCAACGCCGCGUGAGUGAUGAAGGCUUUCGGGUCGUAAAACUCUGUUGUUAGGGAAGAACAAGUGCUAGUUGAAUGAGCUGGCACCUUGACGGUACCUAACCAGAAAGCCACGGCUAACUACGUGCCAGCCGCCGCUGUAA